rnacentral:rRNA from 1 species
GACGAACGCUGGCGGCGUGCCUAAUACAUGCAAGUGGAACGCUGAAGGAGGAGCUUGCUUCUCUGGAUGAGUUGCGAACGGGUGAGUAACGCGUAGGUAACCUGCCUGGUAGCGGGGGAUAACUAUUGGAAACGAUAGCUAAUACCGCAUAAUAGUAGAUGUUGCAUGACAUUUGCUUAAAAGGUGCAAUUGCAUCACUACCAGAUGGACCUGCGUUGUAUUAGCUAGUUGGUGAGGUAACGGCUCACCAAGGCAACGAUACAUAGCCGACCUGAGAGGGUGAUCGUCAACACUGGUACUGUGACACGGCCCAGACUCCUACGGGAGGCAGCAGUAGCGAAUCUUCGGGAAUGGACGGAAGACUGACCGAGCAACGCCGCGUGAGUGAAGAAGGUUUUCGGAUCGUAAAACUCUGUUGUAACAGAAGAACGAGUGUGACAGUGGAAAGUUCACACUGUGACGUUAUCUUACCAGAAAGGGACGGCUAACUACGUG